rnacentral:rRNA from 1 species
GGCAUAAUUUAAAGUAAAACCUGCUCAAUGAAAAAUAAAUAGCCGCAAUAUACUUGUGGUAAGGUAGCACAAUAACUUGCUUUCUAAUUAAAAGAUAGAAUGAAUGGUUAAACAUUUAUUAAUUGUAUCUACUUUCACAAAUUAAAUUUUAACAAGAGUAAAAAUACUCCAAUUAUAAAGUGGGGCGGCAAGCCCCUAAUAAACUUUAUAUUUAGUUGGGGAAACACAAUCAAAAAACUUUAUUAUAAUAAUUUCACACCUUAAAAUAAAUUAAAGAACAGUUACUAUAGGGAUAAGGGCGCUCUUUUUUUUAAAAGACCUAAUCAAAAAAAAAGUUUACGACCUCUAUGUUGAAUUAAUAUCCUAUAUAACCGCACUGAUUAUUAUAAGGUACCCUGUUCGACUAUUUAAAAAUU